rnacentral:piRNA from 1 species
UGACUAGGUGGACGAGAACGACGCUGGU